UACGGAGGAUGCAAGCGUUAUCCGGAUUUAUUGGGUUUAAAGGGUGCGUAGGCGGACGCUUAAGUCAGCGGUAAAAUUGCGGGGCUCAACCUCGUCGAGCCGUUUGAACUGGCGCGCUUGAGUUCAGGCGAGGUAGGCGGAAUUCGUGGUGUAGCGGUGAAAUGCAUAGAUAUCACGAAGAACUCCGAUUGCGAAGGCAGCUUACUAAGCCAUAACUGACACUGAAGCACGAAAGCGUGGGGAGCGAACAGG
rnacentral:rRNA from 1 species